UGCCUUAAACAAUUCUCUACGACGGGUUAAACAACCGCCCUUCACUUUUAAUAGGCACUAUUACGGUGGGAACUCACUUUUCAAUAUGUGAAAUUAAACAGUUCCCUCCCUCUUAAGAUUUAGGUCAAGAUGACUUAGCCAUUCGUCUUAUUCACGUUUGCAUUUCUCAAAGAACAAAUAAGAAAAAUUUCAGUACCCAUUCGUAAACGAAAAGUUCUCUAAAACCCUAAAAUUCCUCCCCUUCGGUUCACCUCCUUCUCCUCACCGCCAUCUCAUGACACCACUUAUGUACCACCAAUAAUCCUCACCGCCAUCUCAUGACACCACUUAUGUACCACCAAUAACCGACGGCCGCUCAACUCCACCCAGAACACUAGGCCAAAAUCGAAUUCUUGUCAAACCCAUAACACUUUGGCUGGCUAGGAGCCUAGGACAAAUCAAAGCGCCUCCACUGGUUGGAAACCUGGCGCCUCCACUGGUUGGUUCUCAAACAGGAAAACUCUUCUGGUUCAAGGACCAAUCCCCGCCGCCACACAUUCAUAUGUACCUAAUCUCUGUAUACACCUGCCUCACUGUAAAGUGUAAAGACGCCGAUGGCGUUAGCCUCCGUCUUUGAACUCUCGACGUCGGAGUCCACCAUGUUCUUUAUUGCUGAUAAAGAUAAAGAAGAUUGGAUAUUAGAAGGGCGCGAUUACUCUUGGGUUGAGAGCUCUUAAUGCUUAUGAGGGUAAAAUUUUAUUAAAUAGGCAUCAUCAGAAACGAGUUCGAAUUCAGCAGAUGGAAGAAAAUAAUAUGAAGAGAUGAGAACUAGGGGAAGAGGAUUAAAGCUUCAAGAGCCACAAUCCUCACUUUCUGAUAAUGUUAGCAUACCAGAAGCAACAAAUAGCAGCGCGUGUAUUGGGAAAUCUACAUGGAAAAGAGUUUUUGAUUCCCUCAAGCAGGUUGAGUACUUAAAUUCCAUAGCAUAUCCGAUAGUAGCUGGGAAAAAGUUACUUAAAAAGGGAUCCAUACAAAGUGGGUGUUUGUAAAAAGGAGUCUUAAAGCCAUUGGUUUGGGUGCUUUCUAAAUGUCAGACUCAUUUGAUGAUAUUUGAAUAUCAAAAGGAACUUGGUACUUACUCAGCUAUGAAAGUAUGCACAUGAGCAGAGUUAGAAUGAUUUUUUAGUAUAACUUUUUUAAUUAAAUAUCAUGAGAUGAUUUGU